rnacentral:rRNA from 1 species
CACGUAGGGGGCGAGCGUUGUCCGGAUUUAUUGGGCGUAAAGAGCUCGUAGGCGGCUCAGUAAGUCGGGUGUGAAAACUCCAGGCUCAACCUGGAGACGCCACCUGAUACUGCUGUGGCUAGAGUCCGGUAGGGGAGCAUGGAAUUCGUGGUGUAGCGGUGAAAUGCGCAGAUAUCAGGAGGAACACCAGUGGCGAAGGCGACUUCCUGGCCUGUUCUUGACGCUGAGGCGCGAAAGCUAGGGGAGCAAACGGG